rnacentral:sRNA from 1 species
CGCUCUCCCAACUGAGCUAUCCCCGCUUCAU